rnacentral:rRNA from 1 species
GAUGAACGCUGGCGGUGUGCCUAAUACAUGCAAGUCGAGCGAACAGACGAGGAGCUUACUCCUCUGACGUUAGCGGCGGACGGGUGAGUAACACGUGGAUAACCUACCUAUAAGACUGGGAUAACUUCGGGAAACCGGAGCUAAUACCGGAUAACAUGUUGAACCGCAUGGUUCAACAGUGAAAGACGGUCUUGCUGUCACUUAUAGAUGGAUCCGCGUCGCAUUAGCUAGUUGGUAAGGUAACGACUUACCAAGGCAACGAUGCGUAGCCGACCUGAGAGGGUGAUCGGCCACACUGGAACUGAGACACGGUCCAGACUCCUACGGGAGGCAGCAGUAGGGAAUCUUCCGCAAUGGGCGAAAGCCUGACGGAGCAACGCCGCGUGAGUGAAGAAGGUCUUCGGAUCGUAAAACUCUGUUAUUAGGGAAGAACAAAUGUGUAAGUAACUAUGCACGUCUUGACGGUACCUAAUCAGAAAGCCACGGCUAACUACGUG